rnacentral:rRNA from 1 species
AUUAUGGCUCAGGAUGAACGCUGGCGGCGUGCUUAAUACAUGCAAGUCGAACGAAGCACCUGCGACGGAUCCCUUCGGGGUGAAGAUGCUUGUGACUGAGUGGCGGACGGGUGAGUAACGCGUGGGUAACCUGCCUUAUGCAGGGGGACAACAGUUAGAAAUGACUGCUAAUACCGCAUAAGCGCACGAGACCGCAUGGUCAAGUGUGAAAAAGAUUUAUCGGCAUAAGAUGGACCCGCGUCUGAUUAGGUAGUUGGUGAGGUAACGGCCCACCAAGCCGACGAUCAGUAGCCGACUUGAGAGAGUGAUCGGCCACAUUGGGACUGAGACACGGCCCAGACUCCUACGGGAGGCAGCAGUAGGGAAUAUUGCACAAUGGGGGAAACCCUGAUGCCAGCGACGCCGCGUGAGUGAUUGAAGUAUUUCGGUACGUAAAGCUCUAUCAGCAGGGAAGAUAAUGACGGUACCUGACUAAGAAGCCCCGGCUAACUACGUGCCAGCCGCGGC